UAUUUUAUAUACGAAUACGAAUGUGUAACUACAAGUACAAAUCAUUUAGACACAAAUCUAACUCCAUAAAAACAAGCCUCAAAACUCAUUUUAAAGCAAUAAAACUGGCCACUGGAGGGCAGUAGCGCAUUUGUUAAAACCCCACAACACAAUUCAAACAGUCCAACUUUAUUAGGGAAGUUAGCAGAGCCCCUCCGCAGCUUGCUGCUCAGGUCCACCGCACGCUCGAGUGUCCUGCACGGAAACGCGCACGGCCAAACCAGUCCCCCCCCCCCCCCCCCAGGAACAUAAGUUCCCUAGGCGAACGAGACAGUGGUCACCACAAAAAAAAGACCAAAAAAAAAUCCAUCUUUACGAGACAGUCGGCAAUGAGGGAAAAGUUUAACCGCUGUCGCAGCCACCAAACGUCAUCUCUCAGUUAGGUCGAACGUCAGACGGGUGGAGCGGCCAGCUGUAAGCAGUCGUCAUCAGCCAGUUUAAGAGCCCAGCGGACGCACCACCACAUCGCCCGAACAACUUGUCUGUUUUCCACGACCUGAUCAGCACGCCCCUCGUCAGACACUUCUGCCAACCCCAGCCUGUCAAACCCCCAGCUGACAGCUACACACGUGGCAUCCACAGUGCUCACCACGACCAUUCCGCCUCCUGCCUCGCUUGAAGCUCAAGACCCAAAUAAACGAGAAUUCUCCCUCUCAUCGUGUUUGUCACGUUGCCUGCGUUGGGAUCCCCCCACCGGUUCCGCGAUCCCUAAAACCCUUUAUGAAAAAUCUGAUUGGCAAUGAAUAAUUAUUAUACUACUAUUAUACGUAUAUAGUGGUACAGUAUACUAUAAUAUUAAUUAGUGUUGCACCGAUACCAUUUUUUGGCCCCGAUACUGAUACCUGGCUGGGCAGUAUCGGCCGAUACCAAUACCACCCCGUUUAUAUAUAUAUAUAUAUAUAUAUAUAUAUAAAAUUAUUUAUUUAUUUAUUUAUUUUCCCCCCAAAGAGCUACAUAAUUGGAUGUGAAAUCAUUGCUAUCAAGGCUUUGUCAGGCUGUUGCUUACCUUUGCAAAAUAGAAAAAAGACUAGUACAAAGUAUAAUACUAGCCCAACAGUAGGAAAGUAAAAAUAAAUUCAUAAUAAUAAACUGAAUGAACUGAGUAAACUUUUUAAACCUCUCAAAGGCCAAACAGUGCAACCUUCAUGAAAUUAUUGUCACAUUCUGCUGCUGGUUAGAUUGUGUUUUGUUGUUGGGCUGUUAGUGGGGGCGUUCCUGAUGUCGCACCUGAAUCCAAUGCAGGCUCAUCAACGCAGCAUUUAAGCACGGGUAAUCUCAGAGAAGGCUGCCGAGAUGUUUGCCUUGCUGAUCGCCAUUUGACAUCUCGCACUAUAGUCUCGCUACAUUUGCUUGUUACGCCCCUGCAUUGGGUUUUUUCUGUUAGUGUGCUGCACUCGUUUGUAACCUCUAUCCUGUGCAGGUAAUUGAGUGUUUUUAUUUUGGCUUUUUGGCUCGCUGCCUAUCGUCUUAGUUAACCUUCGAGUUUGUAGUAUUGAGCUCGUCGACCUGCUGUCACGGACUCCUUUUGUUGUUUCUACUAUCCCGCGAUCGCGUGUUAUUUUUUUGUUUGCAAUCAUUAAACCCUUGUACGUAUCCCCCGCUUGUUGUCCGCUUCGAGGUCCAACCUUGUUUCCGCAUUUGCGGACGCUAACAAUUAUAAGUAAUAACAAUUGACCACAGCAUCCCGUCUCUCUAUUAGCCUCCUUUUUUCGGGAGGGGGGAGUCCCUUAUUUCUAUUUCUGAAAGGUGGCAACCCUACUUUGGAGACAGUUCCCAAAUUACUGCGGCAUUUCUUUCAGUAAAACACAAAAGUAAAGUAGACGUAGUGAACUGACCAGAGAUUGUUGCUCCAGUCCAGCGCCCUUCCUCUGGAUAGCAGUCCUGCUCUUGCAGGCUCAAACUCGUUGUGUUCGUUCACAUUUCGUCUUCAAAUGUUUUAUCAGGUUCGAGGUAUUGGAACUGGCCGCAAAUCUUGCAUGCAGCCAUUGAUUCUAAUCGGCGGGAUUUCUAUUUUGAAAUAUUUCCCGAAUGCCGCCAUGUCGGCGCCGCCAAGCGGCCUUGUCAUUGGUCAGGAGUGGCUAUUGGCCCGUUCUCAUUGGUCUGGAGCAGGCCAAUAGCGAUAGCUGCUUGGUGUUCACGUGUCAUCACACAACACAGAGACAGAGUGUAGUGAGCGCCAGGAGAAAAAAAAAAAAGGCUGCGGUCAAAUGUUAUAAUAAUGGACCGGUAAAUGGUAUCGGCGCCGUCUUUGUUGGUACUCGCCGAUACCGAUACCACCAUUUCGGGCCGGAUCGGCGCCCCCUGCCGAUACUAGUAACGGUAUCGGUGCAUCUUUAAUAUUAAUUCUAGAUAUUUUUGUAAGAAUUGUUUUGAAUCAUCAUGUUGGAAAGGCAAAGACAGUGUUCUGAAUCUGUUUACAUUCCAUUCUUUUGCAUGAAUUAAUGCUAUGAACAUUUGACCUCAUUGUUUGAUGUGUGAUUUAUUAUUGUUAUUUACGUGUUUGUACAUCAAUAAAGAGUUUAAGUGUUCCAAAAAUGUUUUGUGAAUUA